rnacentral:rRNA from 1 species
UACAGAGGUCCCAAGCGUUGUUCGGAUUCACUGGGCGUAAAGGGUGCGUAGGCGGUCGGGUAAGUCUGAUGUGAAAUCUCACAGCUUAACUGUGAAACUGCAUUGGAUACUAUCCGGCUCGAGGAAUGGAGGGGAGACUGGAAUACUUGGUGUAGCAGUGAAAUGCGUAGAUAUCAAGUGGAACACCAGUGGCGAAGGCGGGUCUCUGGACAUUUCCUGACGCUGAGGCACGAAAGCCAGGGGAGCAAACGGG